rnacentral:rRNA from 1 species
CCCAGACUCCUACGGGAGGCAGCAGUGGGGAAUAUUGCACAAUGGGGGAAACCCUGAUGCAGCGACGCCGCGUGGAGGAAGAAGGUCUUCGGAUUGUAAACUCCUGUCCUUGGGGACGAUAAUGACGGUACCCAAGGAGGAAGCACCGGCUAACUACGUGCCAGCAGCCGCGGUAAUACAUAGGGGGCAAGCGUUAUCCGGAAUUAUUGGGUGUAAAGGGUGCGUAGACGGAGAAACAAGUUGGUUGUGAAAUCCCUCGGCUCAACCGAGGAACUGCAACCAAAACUAUUUCCCUUGAGUGUCGGAGAGGAAAGUGGAAUUCCUAGUGUAGCGGUGAAAUGCGUAGAUAUUAGGAGGAACACCAGUGGCGAAGGCGACUUUCUGGACGAUAACUGACGUUGAGGCACGAAAGUGUGGGGAGCAAACAGGAUUAGAUACCCGCGUAC